rnacentral:rRNA from 1 species
CCUACGGGAGGCAGCAGUGAGGAAUAUUGGUCAAUGGUCGGGAGACUGAACCAGCCAAGCCGCGUGAGGGAUGAAGGUACAGAGUAUCGUAAACCUCUUUUGUCAGGGAACAAAGGCGGGGACGUGUCCCCGGAUGAGUGUACCUGAAGAAAAAGCAUCGGCUAACUCCGUGCCAGCAGCCGCGGUAAUACGGAGGAUGCGAGCUUUAUCCGGAUUUAUUGGGUUUAAAGGGUGCGCAGGCGGUCUGUUAAGUAAGCGGUCAAAGCCCGGGGCUCAACCCCGGCCCGCCGUUGAAACUGGCAGUCUUGAGUUGGAGAGAAGUAUGCGGAAUGCGCGGGGUAGCGGUGAAAUGCAUAGAUAUCGCGCAGAACUCCGAUUGCGAAGGCAGCAUGCCGGCUCCACACUGACGCUGAGGCACGAAAGCGUGGGUAUCGAACAGGAUUAGAUACCCGUGUAGGC